rnacentral:tRNA from 1 species
UUAUAGUUCAGCUCGGUUAGAACAACAGAUUUCUUUGUUGCGGGUUCGAGUCCCGCCAAAA